rnacentral:rRNA from 1 species
UGGGGAAUAUUGCACAAUGGGGGAAACCCUGAUGCAGCGACGCCGCGUGGAGGAAGAAGGUCUUCGGAUUGUAAACUCCUGUUGUUGAGGAAGAUAAUGACGGUACUCAACAAGGAAGUGACGGCUAACUACGUGCCAGCAGCCGCGGUAAAACGUAGGUCACAAGCGUUGUCCGGAAUUACUGGGUGUAAAGGGAGCGCAGGCGGGAGAACAAGUUGGAAGUGAAAUCCAUGGGCUCAACCCAUGAACUGCUUUCAAAACUGUUUUUCUUGAGUAGUGCAGAGGUAGGCGGAAUUCCCGGUGUAGCGGUGGAAUGCGUAGAUAUCGGGAGGAACACCAGUGGCGAAGGCGGCCUACUGGGCACCAACUGACGCUGAGGCUCGAAAGUGUGGGUAGCAAACAGGAUUAGAUACCCUGGUAGUCCACACCGUAAACGAUGAUUACUAGGUGUUGGAGGAUUGACCCCUUCAGUGCCGCAGUUAACACAAUAAGUAAUCCACCUGGGGAGUACGACCGCAAGGUUGAAACUCAAAGGAAUUGACGGGGGCCCGCACAAGCAGUGGAGUAUGUGGUUUAAUUCGACGCAACGCGAAGAACCUUACCAAGUCUUGACAUCCUGCGACGAUGCUGGAAACAGUAUUUUCCUUCGGGACGCAGAGACAGGUGGUGCAUGGUUGUCGUCAGCUCGUGUCGUGAGAUGUUGGGUUAAGUCCCGCAACGAGCGCAACCCUUACUGUCAGUUACUACGCAAGAGGACUCUGGCAGGACUGCCGUUGACAAAACGGAGGAAGGUGGGGAUGACGUCAAAUCAUCAUGCCCUUUAUGACUUGGGCUACACACGUACUACAAUGGCGUUAAACAAAGAGAAGCAAGACCGCGAGGUGGAGCAAAACUCAGAAACAACGUCCCAGUUCGGACUGCAGGCUGCAACUCGCCUGCACGAAGUCGGAAUUGCUAGUAAUCGUGGAUCAGCAUGCCACGGUGAAUACGUUCCC